rnacentral:rRNA from 1 species
AGAGUUUUAUCCUGGCUCAGGACGAACGCUGGCGGCGUGCUUAACACAUGCAAGUCUAGGUAGAAAUUUCGACUUGUCGAGAGAGUAAACUGGCGAACGGGUGAGUAACGCGUAGGUAAUUUGCCUUUAAGUGGGGGACAGGCACGGGAAACUGUGAUUAAUACCGCAUAUUGUUGAUUUACACAAGUAGAUUAAUGAAAGUUGGGGACCUUCGGGCCCAACGCUUAAAGAUAAGCCUGCGUCUGAUUAGUUAGUUGGUGGGGUAAUGGCCUACCAAGACAUCGAUCAGUAGCUGUUCUAAGAGGAAGAUCAGCCACAUUGGGACUGAGAUACGGCCCAGACUCCUACGGGAGGCAGCAGUGAGGAAUUUUGCGCAAUGGGGGCAACCCUGACGCAGCAACGCCGCGUGACCGAUUGAAGCUUCUAGGAGUGUAAAGGUCUGUCGUGAAGGAAGAAAAAGUCCGAGAAUAAUAAGUUCGGUAAUUGACGGUACUUCACAAGCAAGCUCCGGCUAACUUCGUGCCAGCAGCCGCGGUAAUACGAGGGGAGCAAGCGUUGUCCGGAAUAACUGGGCGUAAAGGGUACGUAGGCUUUUGUGUGUGUUUUCGGUGAAAGUCAUAGGCUCAACUUAUGAAUUGCCGGAAAAACUGCAUAGAUUGAAUCCGGAAGGGGAAAGCGGAAUUCCUGGUGUAGCGGUGAAAUGCGUAGAUAUCAGGAGGAACACCAGUGGCGAAGGCGGCUUUCUGGUCCGGAAUUGACGCUGAGGUACUAAAGCGUGGGUAGCAAACAGGAUUAGAUACCCUGGUAGUCCACGCCCUAAACGAUGUAUACUUGAUGUCGGGAUGUUCGGUCGUCUCGGUGUCGUAGCUAACGUGUUAAGUAUACCGCCUGGGGACUACGGUCGCAAGACUGAAACUCAAAGGAAUUGACGGGGGCCCGCACCAGCGGUGGAACAUGCGGUUUAUUCGAUGCAACGCGAAGAACCUUACCUGGGCUUGACAUACAUAUGAAGUAUGUAAGAAAUUAUGUAUUUUUGCUGCUUGCAGUAAACAUAUGUACAGGUGAUGCAUGGCUGUCGUCAGCUCGUGUCGUGAGAUGUAGGGUUAAGUCCCUUAACGAGCGCAACCCUUGCUUUUAGUUGCCAUCAGGUAAUGCUGGGGACUCUAGAAGGACUGCCGAGGUUAACUCGGAGGAAGGUGGGGAUGACGUCAAGUCAGUAUGUCCCUUAUGUCCAGGGCUACACACGUGUUACAAUGGCCGGUACAGAGUGCAGCAAGACCGCGAGGUGGAGCAAAUCACUUAAAGCCGGUCCCAGUUCGGAUAGGAGUCUGCAAUUCGACUCCUUGAAGUUGGAAUCGCUAGUAAUCGCAGAACAGCACGCUGCGGUGAAUACGUUCCCGGGCCUUGUACACACCGCCCGUCACGCCAUGGAAGUUGGGGGUACCCGAAGUUGCUGUCUAUUCGGUGGAGGUAACUAAGGUAAAACCGAUGACUGGGGCGAAGUCGUAACAAGGUA